rnacentral:rRNA from 1 species
AUUGAACGCUGGCGGCAGGCCUAACACAUGCAAGUCGAGCGCGCGGCGGACGGGUGAGUGAUGUCUGGGAAACUGCCUGAUGGAGGGGGAUAACUCCUGGAAACGGUAUCUAAUACCGCAUACCCUCAGAUGUGCCCCGAGGGGAUUAGCUAGUAGGUGGGGUAACGGCUCACCUAGGCGACGAUCCCUAGCUGGUCUGAGAGGAUGACCAGCCAAACUGGAACUGAGACACGGUCCAGACUCCUACGGGAGGCAGCAGUGGGGAAUAUUGCACAAUGGGCGCAAGCCUGAUGCAGCCAUGCCGCGUGUGUGAAGAAGGCCUUCGGGUUGUAAAGCACUUUCAGCGGGGAGGCGUUACCCGCAGAAGAAGCACCGGCUAACUCCGUGCCAGCAGCCGCGGUAAUAC